UCAAUAAGCGGAGGAAAAGAAACUAACAAGGAUUCCCCUAGUAACUGCGAGUGAAGCGGGAAAAGCUCAAAUUUGAAAUCUGGCAGUUCUUGUAGCUGUCCGAGUUGUAAUUUAGAGAAGUGUUACCCGUGCUGGACCGUAUACAAGUUCUUUUGAAUGAGGCAUCAUAGAGGGUGACAAUCCCGUCUUUGAUACGGACUACCAGUGCAUUGUGGUGCGCUCUCGAAGAGUCGAGUUGUUUGGGAAUGCAGCUCAAAAUGGGUGGUAAAUUCCAUCUAAAGCUAAAUACAGGCGAGAGACCGAUAGCGAACAAGUACCGUGAGGGAAAGAUGAAAAGAACUUUGGAAAGAGAGUUAAACAGUACGUGAAAUUGCUGAAAGGGAAACGCUUGAAGUCAGUCGCGUUGGCUUGAGAUCAGCCUUGGCUUGCCCUGGUGUACUCUCUUGUCAAUGGGUCAGCAUCAGUUUCGAUCGUUGGAUAAAGGUCAUCGGAAUGUGGCACCUUUACGGUGUGUUAUAGCCUUUGAUUGUAUACAGCGAUUGGGACUGAGGAACUCAGCGCACCGAAAGGACAGGUUUCGACCAUGUAUUGCGCUUAGGAUGCUGGCAUAAUGGCUUUAAUCGACCCGUCUUGAAACACGGACCAAGGAGUCUAACAUGCCUG
rnacentral:rRNA from 1 species